AUAGUCGGCAAGCGAGGGAACGCCCACAAAAUGUCACAUCCGGUUUGCGCUGAGGGGGAAAACAAACCGGCUUCCACAAUGCCCAGAAGCUGCUGUGUGCCCUUUUGUACAACUAACAAGCUUAAAAAUCCAAAUCUAACAUUUUAUAUUUUGCCCAAUGGGAGCCCAGAGCCCAGGAGAAGAACCCGGUGGCUUCAAGCGAUCCGUCGGGAGUUUGGCCACCUGUGGGAUCCAAAAUCCAAACAUGUACGUCUGUAGUCAGCACUUCAUUACAGGCUUAAAAAAACAAGGACAUAGCCCACCCAGACUACACACCCUCGCUGUUCCCACAUAAAAAGACAAAGUCCAAAGGCUGGGGAGGGAGGGCUUCAGAUGUGCAUAUUGUAAGGAACUCAGACUUCUUAUCUCAGAAGUUCCACCAUGCAGGAGAUCAGAUUUUAGCUGACAGGGGCUUCACUUUGAAGGAUGACUUUGCUGUUCUGGGUGCACAGCUCAUCACACCGUCUUUCACGAGGGGCCGAAAACAACUGUCAGCCGAAGAUGUUGCAAAUUCUCGUGUGACUUCGAACAUCAGAAUUCACAUUGGUAAGUAUAGAGUCAGCAGUCAGAUUCAUACAGUAUGUACAUUUGAAUGUUUUUGGUAUUCAGAGUGUGCUGCAUCAUCAAAUCACUGUUGCUACUUGCCGCUGACGUGGUUCACAUUUCCCUAACUAAAUUAAUUACUGUAACAGAUCCGGGUUAACAAGUGCUGAGACGUUAUUCAAUUAAUCACAUCAACGAGUACAUGUGUAAUCCCUACUUUGUAGGGUGUCUUCAGAUAACAUUUUAUCUUUAACAUGUUAUUCUAUAUUUAAAUACAUUGAACUGUUGUUCACAUUUAGUGCAAUAUCAAGAGAACAGGAUAACAGGAAGUUAACAGGGAUCUUUCUUCACUUUAACAUGAAAAAGAAACACUAAUUAUAGGACACAAUGCACUGACGAUAUGAUAUAACGGUCAACUGUGCUACUCCUGUGAAACUCGAACAUAACAAUGUAGAUAAA